CAGCUAUAUUAAAUAUAGAGGUGAAGACCCGUCCCAUCCGGUCGACCAUCAUGGGACCUUAAUUCGGAAAACAAUAUGAACGGUUGACAACGGCGAGACACAAAUAUUUUUUUGAUCCCGCUGGAAUUGCACCAUGAAUCACACAUAUGAUGUUUGUCAAUUUAAAGGGGAAUUUUGCAAGUCAAGAAA